AUUGAACGCUGGCGGCAGGCCUAACACAUGCAAGUCGAGCGAGCGGCGGACGGGUGAGUAAUGUCUGGGAAACUGCCUGAUGGAGGGGGAUAACUACUGGAAACGGUAGCUAAUACCGCAUAUCAUCGGAUGUGCCCAGAUGGGAUUAGCUAGUAGGUGGGGUAACGGCUCACCUAGGCGACGAUCCCUAGCUGGUCUGAGAGGAUGACCUGCCACACUGGAACUGAGACACGGUCCAGACUCCUACGGGAGGCAGCAGUGGGGAAUAUUGCACAAUGGGCGAAAGCCUGAGGCAGCCAUGCCGCGUGAGUGAAGAAGGCCUUCGGAUUGUAAAGCACUGUCAUCGGGGAGGCGUUACCCGCUGAGGAAGCACCGGCUAACUCCGUGCCAGCAGCCGCGGUAAUUC
rnacentral:rRNA from 1 species